AUCCUAGGGAAAAGACACGGGAAAAUGUGUGUGGUCUAACGUGCAGGAGAAAAGGCCACAACAGCGAGAGGACCUCACUAAGCUGAGCUCCUUGAGCGACUCAUAUCCAGCCUGGUGUCGUGUGAACUCAACGCUAAAUCCACAGCUUGCUUCCUCCUCCCUCUCAGUCAACGUUCCCCUUCCCUAACUGUGGAAUUAGAGUCCCCACCGCACUGAGGAAGCACUGGCUCGGGAUACAGCCAUUGCUCAAGGGAGAACCCGUGCCAGCUGGGAAGGGUUCAGAACACAGCCUUGUCUUCCUGUGAACACGAAUGUGCUGUCACUGAACCUCUCAUACUAGCAGUAGGGAAGAGAGGCAGCUGCAGUACUUUGGCCCAAAUUACAGAGGAUGUCAAAUGACAAGCAGUUGUGGCUAUGUAAUUCUGGUCAGAGCCUCCCACUCCUAAUUGCCUGCAGUUUCAAGGGAAACCAUUAUUUACUCCUUUCAGAUGCUGGAGUGCCAGAGCCGGCAGGCGAGCAGAGUUCCAAGAGUGGACGGUUGGCAUUCAGCACACUACUUAAGAAGAGCCUGGGGAAUGGAAUUAAGCCUUGGGCAUGUUGGGUCUCACUUUGUCUACCAGGCUGGAGUGCAGUGGUGCAAUCACGGCUCAUUGCAGCCUCGACCUCCUGGGCUCAGGGGAUCCUCCCACCUCAGGCUCCGGAGCAGCUGGGACUUCAGGAACCAAAUAUAUGGUCCAGUGGAGGGAGAGAAGAGGCACACUCAAAGCAAAGGACUGCGCAAGGGGAAACCAUGGCUGCUCAGCGUGGAAAUGAGAGCCAUGACUAUGUGAGGUGGAAGCAGGCGCUGAGGAAGAAGGAGGAACUCACAGCUUGAGCUCAGUGUCCAGGAAACAGUACAUCCUUAUAGUUUCUUCUCUGUGCUGCCAGUGCUGGGAGUCUUCAGUCUUUCUCCUUUAUCGUCUGGCCUCCUGGUGGAUUCUUCAGUUGGGGACUCUAGAAGGAGAUGGAAGACAGGAGGAAAGAAGUUUCUGGGUCAUUGGUGAGACUGAAUUUCAUAGAAAAGUCUUUGCUACAGCAAAACCUCUCUGCAAGCAAUACAUUAUCCAAGCUGCUGGAGGCCAGAUUGACCAGAAAAAUGGGACCAAUAACAUGGUAAAGGAUCUUCAACACUAGCCUUCAGCUCCUCAGGGUCCAGUGUGCUUGAAAAACAAUAAAUAUUUUAACUCUUACUUUCACCAGCCUAGAGGGGAGAGAGAGAGAGAGUUGUGAACAAAGGACCCCUGAGUGACAUGGCUCCUGUGUGGGAGAACUCUCCUAGCUUUGUGACUGAGGUGGGGGCCUGGUCUGGGCACUGCUUAUUAUUACCAUUUUAAUUUUUAAAGCAAAUUUUUGAGGAAAGACCCUGAAGACCAAUGGUUGUUGCUUGGCCACUGAAAAAUA